GGUGCAAGUAGUGUAGUGGGCUUGAACAUUGGACUAUGACUCUGGAGGCCAGGGUUCAAAUCCCAGCUUGACCA